UACGGAGGAUCCGAGCGUUAUCCGGAUUUAUUGGGUUUAAAGGGUGCGUAGGCGGUUUGAUAAGUUAGAGGUGAAAUGUCGGGGCUCAACCCCGAAACUGCCUCUAAUACUGUUGGACUAGAGAAUAGUUGCGGUAGGCGGAAUGAAUGGUGUAGCGGUGAAAUGCUUAGAGAUCAUACAGAACACCGAUUGCGAAGGCAGCUUACCAAACUAUAUCUGACGUUGAGGCACGAAAGCGUGGGUAGCAAACAGG
rnacentral:rRNA from 1 species